rnacentral:rRNA from 1 species
GAUGAACGCUGGCGGCGUGCCUAAUACAUGCAAGUCGAGCGAACGGACGAGAAGCUUGCUUCUCUGAUGUUAGCGGCGGACGGGUGAGUAACACGUGGAUAACCUACCUAUAAGACUGGGAUAACUUCGGGAAACCGGAGCUAAUACCGGAUAAUAUUUUGAACCGCAUGGUUCAAAAGUGAAAGACGGUCUUGCUGUCACUUAUAGAUGGAUCCGCGCUGCAUUAGCUAGUUGGUAAGGUAACGGCUUACCAAGGCAACGAUGCAUAGCCGACCUGAGAGGGUGAUCCGCCCCCCGGGAACUGGGACCCGGUCCACGCCCCUACGGGGGGCACGAGGAGGGAUUCUCCCCCAAGGGGCGAAACCCUGACGGAGCACCCCCGCGGGGGUGAUGAAGGCUUUCGGUUCGUAAACCCUUUUUUUUAGGGAAAAACAAUUUUGUAAGUAACUGUGCCAAUCUUGGCGGGCCCAAAUCAAAAAGCCCCGGCUAACUACGU